AGAAGAUGGUAAGGGCAAACGGUGGAUGCCUUGGCACAAGAAGCCGAUGAAGGACGUGAUAAGCUGCGAUAAGCCACGGUAAGGAGCACAUAUCCUGUGACCCGUGGAUUUCCGAAUGGGUAAACCCACCAAGAGUCAUUUCUUGGUACUUCCUGCUGAAUAUAUAGGCAGGAUAGAGGUAACCGGGGGAACUGAAACAUCUAAGUACCCCGAGGAAGAGAAAUCAAACGAGAUUCCCCUAGUAGUGGCGAGCGAACGGGGAUAUAGGACAAACCGUCAGUUGCGCAAGCGCUGGCGGGGUUGUAGGACCAUUCAUUAUGGAGUUACAAAACUUCGUGGAAGCAGAAUAGCUUGGAAAAGCUGGCGAGACAGGGUAAAAGCCCCGUACGCGAAUCUGCGAAGACUCCCGAGUGGCACCUGAGUACUGCCGGACACGUGAAACCCGGUGGGAACCUGGGGGGUCCACCCUCCAAUCCUAAAUACUCUCUUGUGACCGAUAGUGAACCAGUACCGUGAGGGAAAGGUGAAAAGCACCCCUAGCGGGGAGUGAAAUAGUACCUGAAACCGUUUGCCUACAAGCAGUCGGAGCAGACUUUUGUCUGUGACGGCGUGCCUUUUGUAGAAUGAGCCAGCGAGUUACGGCAUGUGGCAAGGUUAAGCUAAAAAGCGAGCCGCAGCGAAAGCGAGUCUGAAUAGGGCGAGUGAGUCGCAUACCGUAGACGCGAAGCCAGGUGAGCUAUCCAUGAGCAGGCUGAAGCGGGGGUAAGACCCCGUGGAGGGCCGAACCCACUUAGGUUGAAAACUGAGGGGAUGACUUGUGGAUAGGAGUGAAAGGCCUAUCAAACCUGGAGAUAUCUCGUUCUCUCCGAAAUAGCUUUAGGGCUAGCCUCGGAUGUUUACCAAUGGGGGUAGAGCACUGAAUAGUUGCGGGGGCUUCACCGCCUACCAAGAUUAAUCAAACUCCGAAUACCAUUGGUCUAGAAUCCGGGAGUCAGAAUAUGUGGGCUAAGCUGUGUAUUCGAAAGGGAAACAGCCCAGACCGCCCGCUAAGGUCCCAAAAUCAAUGCUAAGUGGCAAAGGAUGUGCGUUUGCUCAGACAACCAGGAUGUUGGCUUAGAAGCAGCCAUUCAUUUAAAGAGUGCGUAAUAGCUCACUGGUCGAGUGGACAUGCGCCGACAAUAUACGGGGCUAAGCAUUGUACCGAAGCGGCGGAUCAGUACUUUGUACUGGUGGUAGGAGAGCUUUCUGUACGGGUUGAAGCAGUUGGAUAACCAACUGUGGACUGUCCAGAAGUGAGAAUGCUGGCAUGAGUAACGAGAGACAUGUAAAAAACAUGUCCGCCGUAAACCCAAGGUUUCCUGGGCAAGGCUAAUCCUCCCAGGGUUAGGCGGGAGCUAAGGCAAGGCCGGAAGGCGUAGUCGAUGCACAACAGGUAGAAAUUCCUGUCCCUCCAAAAGAGCGUUAUCACCAAUGGGGUGACGGAGCAGGGUAGCUAGGCGGGGUUCUGGACGUCCCCGUGAUGGCACGUAGGCUGAGAAGUAGUGAAAUGCGCUUCUCGUGAUGGCUGAGGUGUCGGACGAAGCAAUUGAGUGAAGCUAGUAAGCCCAUACUUCCAAGAAAAACCUCUAGGGAGCUCUGAGGAGCCCGUACCGCAAACCGACACAGGUGGGUGGGUAGAGCAUACCAAGGCGAUCGGGAGAACUAUGGUUAAGGAACUCGGCAAAAUUGCCCCGUAACUUCGGGAGAAGGGGUGCCGGUUUCGGUGAAGGGAUUUACUCCCCGAGCUAAGAUCGGUCACAGUAAAUAGGUCCAAGCGACUGUUUAUCAAAAACACAGGACUCUGCUGAAGUCGUAAGACGACGUAUAGGGUCUGACGCCUGCCCGGUGCCGGAAGGUCACGAGGAGUUGUUAGCAUUAGCGAAGCAGCGAAUCUAAGCCCCGGUAAACGGCGGCCGUAACUAUAACGGUCCUAAGGUAGCGAAAUUCCUUGUCGGGU
rnacentral:rRNA from 1 species